rnacentral:rRNA from 1 species
UACGGGGGGAGCAAGCGUUGUUCGGAUUUACUGGGCGUAAAGGGCGCGUAGGUGGCGACCCAAGUCCAUGGUGAAAGCUCGAUGCUCAACAUCGAGUCGGCCACGGAUACUGGGUUGCUGGAGCACUGUAGAGGCAGAUGGAAUUCCGGGUGUAGCGGUGGAAUGCGUAGAGAUCCGGAAGAACACCGGUGGCGAAGGCGGUCUGCUGGGCAGUAACUGACGCUGAGGAGCGAAAGCGUGGGGAGCGAACAGG